AUGCUCCCUCUGCACCAGCAAGAUCACUCUCUUGAAAACUCUCUAAUUCUUAGGUAUGAACAUACGCUUUCUAAACUUAAUCAGUACUACAAACAAAGGAGUAAGAAGGGUUGGGUCAAAGAUGGUGACAGGAAUACUAGGUUCUUUCAUCAAGCUGUGCUCAAGAGAAGGAAAAGAAAUACUAUAUGCUCUAUUAAGGAUGAGAAUGAUGUUACCCAUUUUAAACCUAGUCUCAUUGCUAAUACUUUUGUUAAUUAUUUUAGCAAUGUUGGAAGACCUUUUCUUGGUACUCAUUUGCCAGAAAAUUCUGAGGAUCUAACUUAUUCCAUUCCAGACAAGAAUGAAAUUUUGCAGAUUUUAAAGGAUAUGAAGCUGAAUGCUUCACCUGGACCUGAUGGCUUUAAUGUGGAGUUCUAUCUUGCUACAUGGGAAUGGAUAGGAGAUGAAGUCACUCAAUUGGUGGUUAACUUCUAUAGAACAUGUAUACUACCACCUCACAUAAGUGAUACCAAUAUAGCUCUCAUUCCCAAAAACUUGUUCCUCAGGUUCCUAUGGACUAUAGACCCAUUAGUCUUUGUAAUGUGGUUUACAAAAUCAUUGCUAAAUCUCUAUCCAAUAGACUUAAGCCUCACCUUCCUGAUUAUAUUGAUCCUGCUCAGCAGGCAUUUAUUCAGGGUAGGAGGAUUAGUGAUAAUAUUAUUAUUGCUCAAGAGUUUGCCCAUACUUUUUCUCUUAAAUCUUGGAAAUAUCAUGCUUUCAUGCUCAAAAUUGAUCUUGCUAAGGCUUUUGAUCGGUUAG
rnacentral:rRNA from 1 species